AAAAUUUAUUGGUUUCGGCCCUAUUUUCAAAGAUAUAUCUUUAUUUUCCUUGAA
rnacentral:tRNA from 1 species